CACGAUAGCUGUAGUGCCUGUAAUGGCGGGGAUAGCACCUGCCGUAGUAGCGGCAGGAACGCGAAGCGUACCGUCUGUUCCAGUGGCGCUCCGCGCGCCAAUGGCGA
rnacentral:sRNA from 1 species